UGGCAGCUUCAGUGCAAGGCCGCCAUCAUCCUCGCCUCAUCUGAUGGCUCCGUGACUCGCCGCCAAGCGCUGGAGCAUUCCACCGACCAG
rnacentral:lncRNA from 1 species